rnacentral:rRNA from 1 species
CCCUUUGGCCUGGAAUAACACGAGGAAACUUGUGCUAAUACCGGAUAAGUCUUUACGGAGAAAGCUUUAUGCACCAUUGGAUGAGCCCGCACUUGAUUAGUUUGUUGGUAGGGUAAUGGCCUACCAAGACUAUGAUCAAUAGCUGAUUUGAGAGGAUGAUCAGCCACAUUGGGACUGAGACACGGCCCAAACUCCUACGGGAGGCAGCAGUGGGGAAUCUUGCACAAUGGAGGAAACUCUGAUGCAGCGAUGCCGCGUGAGUGAAGAAGGCCCUUGGGUUGUAAAGCUCUUUCGUCGGGGAAGAAAAUGACUGUACCCGAAUAAGAAGGUCCGGCUAACUUCGUGCCAGCAGCCGCGGUAAUACGAAGGGACCUAGCGUAGUUCGGAAUUACUGGGCUUAAAGAGUUCGUAGGUGGUUGAAAAAGUUAGUGGUGAAAUCCCAGAGCUUAACUCUGGAACUGCCAUUAAAACUUUUCAGCUAGAGUAUGAUAGAGGAAAGCAGAAUUUCUAGUGUAGAGGUGAAAUUCGUAGAUAUUAGAAAGAAUACCAAUUGCGAAGGCAGCUUUCUGGAUCAUUACUGACACUGAGGAACGAAAGCAUGGGUAGCGAAGAGGAUUAGAUACCCUCGUAGUCCAUGCCGUAAACGAUGUGUGUUAGACGUUGGAAAUUUAUUUUCAGUGUCGCAGGGAAACCGAUAAACACACCGCCUGGGGAGUACGACCGCAAGGUUAAAACUCAAAUGAAUUGACGGGGACCCGCACAAGUAGUGGAGCAUGUGGUUUAAUUCGAAGAUACGCGCAGAACCUUACCAACACUUGACAUGUUCGUCGCGACUCUAAGAGAUUAGAGUUUUCGGUUCGGCCGGACGAAACACAGGUGCUGCAUGGCUGUCGUCAGCUCGUGUCGUGAGAUGUUGGGUUAAGUCCCGCAACGAGCGCAACCCUCACUUUUAGUUGCCAUCAUUAAGUUGGGCACUCUGAAAGAACUGCCAGUGAUAAGCUGGAGGAAGGUGGGGAUGACGUCAAGUCCUCAUGGCCCUUACGUGUUGGGCUACACACGUGCUACAAUGGCAUCUACAACAGGAAGCAAAACGGCAACGUUAAGCAAAUCCCGAAAAGAUGCCUCAGUUCGGAUUGCACUCUGCAACUCGAGUGCAUGAAGCUGGAAUUACUAGUAAUCGUGGAUCAGCGUGCCACGGUGAAUGCGUUCCCGGGUCUUGUACACACCGCCCGUCACACCAUGGGAGUUGGUUCUACCUUAAGGCAAGGUUUCAAACCCUUGACCACGGUAUAGUCAGCGACUGGGGUGAAGUCGUAACAAGGUAACCGUA